rnacentral:lncRNA from 1 species
GUGUGCAGGGCUUGGGGCCCAGGUGGGGCCCAGGUGGGGCCCAGGUGUGCAGGCAGCGCGCGUCCUCCCGGGCGCCAGGGGCGCUGCGCCGGGGCGGGCCCGGCCUGGGCCCGCCCUCCUUCCGCCCGCGGCCCCGGAAGCGGGCGAUGGCGCGGAACGUGCUGUGAGUGGGGUCCCGGCGCGCGGGGUCGGGGCGUGGCCGCCCCAGGCUGGGCUCAGGGCCCCGGGCCGCGGACUCGGGACCCGGGGCCCAGGCAGGACGCGCGGCGUCUGGGCGCCCGUGGGGGCGGGGCGGGCCCGGGCGGGGUCGUUGCAGGGCCCGCGUGGCCCGGGCCUCCCCGGAGUCGAGCCUGGCCUUCGGCGAAGGCGGGCGGGAGGUCGGUGCGGCCGGUCCGCGCCAGCCUCGGGCCUCGGGCCCCGCAGGCUGCGCGCGCCCCGCCCCGGCAGCUCCCAGGGGCCCGGACCGUGGCCCCUGCAGUGCACGCGGCCGGUCACCAGGGGAAGAGGCGAGCCCGGUGGCCACUCGCCGGCCCGGCCCCACGAGGACAGGGCGAGGCUCGGUCGUGGGCCGGCCCGCCCGCCCGCGCCCGACGCUCUGCCGUCGGGAGGUGCUGCUGCUGGUGUCCCGGCAGCUGCCACGUGCGACAGGGUCACGAGGAGACCCCAGUAAACGUCAGCUGGCACUCAGCUCAGCGCUGGUCUGCUCGCAGCGUCCCGGCCUGUGUCAGGGCCCCAGGCCCUGCCACCCUCAGGAUGCCCCACCCAGGACCUCGGCCCUGGCCCGGUCCUACUCCCCAGAGUUGUAAGGCCCAGAGGCAUCAUGAGACUUGGCUUCACUGGGCCCCUUCCUUGUGCUUGCUGCUCCCCAGAUCAGAGGUCGUGUGCCAUGCUGCAAACUGGUCACCAGGACCCUUGAUGGCAUCGUCAGCCCCUGUGCCCACCCUCCACCGAAACACCUCUCCUGGGCUCCCACUGGACCCUGAUCCCUCACAGGCCCUGCCAACCUUGGGCCCCCACCUCCUUGGACCAUGA